UCCGAAUUGGUGUAACGGUUAACAUUUGGCGUUUUCACUCCUAAGAGAGAUCCGCCAGGCUCGGGGUUCGAUUCCCCGAUUCGGAG